AAUACUAUACUUUCAGGGAUCAUUUCUAUAGUUUCUGACUAGGAAAUGCAUUUCAAAAGUGUUAACCCAGGUGGAUGUUCACACCCAUCUAAUAUAGUGGG
ensembl:snoRNA U3 Small nucleolar RNA U3